AUUGAACGCUGGCGGAAUGCUUUACACAUGCAAGUCGAGCGGCAGCGCGGGGCAACCUGGCGGCGAGCGGCGAACGGGUGAGUAAUACAUCGGAACGUGCCCAGACGUGGGGGAUAACUACUCGAAAGAGUAGCUAAUACCGCAUACGAUCUACGGAUGAAAGCGGGGGAUCGCAAGACCUCGCGCGUCUGGAGCGGCUGAUGGCAGAUUAGGUAGUUGGUUGGAUAAAAGCCUACCAAGCCAACGAUCUGUAGCUGGUCUGAGAGGAUGAUCAGCCACACUGGGACUGAGACACGGCCCAGACUCCUACGGGAGGCAGCAGUGGGGAAUUUUGGACAAUGGGCGAAAGCCUGAUCCAGCCAUUCCGCGUGCAGGAUGAAGGCCCUCGGGUUGUAAACUGCUUUUGUACAGAACGAAAAAGACUCCGGCUAAUACCUGGAGUCCAUGACGGUACUGUAAGAAUAAGCACCGGCUAACUACGUG
rnacentral:rRNA from 1 species